CACAUGUCUCACUACGCGUGCGGUGCA
rnacentral:sRNA from 1 species